AUAUAUAUAUAUAUGUAUAUGUGGAGUCACCUGGUAAUUGUAAUGGAGGCCUGGAAAAAAGGACUAAUGAAGAGCAAGAGUCUGACCAGAGGAGGCGGAGCCUACAGUUUAAAAGCAGAGAGAGAGAGUGGCCUUCAUCAGAAAACAAGGCUGCCAAAUAUCCAGGUGGACAGCCAGCACAGAUGCACACAGUUGUCAGAAAGAUGCUGCCUCAUGUGGAAUAUUUGUCCUGAAAAGGACCUUACUGAGCUGUGCCACCAUUGAGGGGAGAAGAGAAAUAAGCAAAGAAAGACAGUGAUGAAAAAACAUGAACAACCGUUAUCAUCUACUUGGAUUCAGUGUGACGUGUGUGUGACCAUUUGUUUCACAUGCAGUGUGUUCAGGAGCCCGAUCCUAUCAAGUCCUACAGCUGUGCAAAUUUUAAGAUUC